rnacentral:lncRNA from 1 species
UUAGAUAAACGACAAGUACUUGAAUGACUGAGUAGGGUAACUCAUAUCCAAAUAUUUGAGGAGAGGAAUCGAAGGCUCAAGACCAUCUCCCUUUUCGUUUAGUUUAUAAUGAAAAUGAUUUGAUUUCAUCGGGUUUAGAAGUUUGUAGAGAAAUGACAAUUGUCUGACUAACUGAGUAAGAGAACUCAUAUUCAAACAAUCUAGGAGAGGAUUUGAA